AUCUACAGCUAUACCACCGUCAACAUGCCUGACCUCAUCUGAUCUUGGAAGCUAAGUAGGUUUGGGUCUGGUUAGUUCUUGGAUGCGAGAUCAUCUGGGAAUACCACAUGCUGUAGGCU
rnacentral:rRNA from 1 species